rnacentral:rRNA from 1 species
AUUGAACGCUGGCGGCAGGCCUAACACAUGCAAGUCGAACGAGUGGCGGACGGGUGAGUAAUGUCUGGGAACCUGCCCGAUGGAGGGGGAUAACUACUGGAAACGGUAGCUAAUACCGCAUACCAUCGGAUGUGCCCAGAUGGGAUUAGCUAGUAGGUGGGGUAACAGCGCACCUAGGCGACGAUCUCUCGCUGGUCUGAGAGGAUGACAAGCAACGCUGGAACUGAGACACGGUCCAGACUACUACGGGAGUCAGCAUUGGGGAAUAGUGUAAAAUGGGCGCAAGCCUGAUGCAGCCAUGCCGCGUGUAUGAAGAAGGCCGUCGGGUUGUAAAGUACUUUCAGCGAGGAGGCGUUACUCGCAGAAGAAGCACCGGCUAACUCCGUGCCAGCAGCCGCGGUAAUUC